GGGAGUCUGAGGAGGUGGGCUCAGGGCUAGGCCUGGUGCUGUGGGCUUCCAAACAUGUUUGAGCUUUCAGCGUUUCGGGCAAGGACCCCGACAACUGUAUCAGACCCUGAGGAUGCUUCUUGCUGCCUUCUGUCCCCCACCUGGGGACAAGCCUGCCCGGAAGUUUGCAGCUGGCCAGGACACAGGAGUCAGGCGCUGUCAUCAGACGGGAGGUCUGAAGGUCUUCCUGCUGUGCCGGACACUGCAGAGCGGAGACAGCUCGGCUCGAGCUUUCCCUUAGCAUCCCUUCCCCGGAGCUUCUUGCCUCCCCUGUGUUCUCCUCGGCCUCUGUUACUCAGAAGAGAAUUUUGGAAUUCCCGACUUUACGUAGGGCUCGCAAAGUUGGCUUCUCCUUCUGGUUUCUAAAUUACAUGCAGUCAGGACAUGCGCUGUCCCUGGCACUGACUGGAGAUUUCCUGAGGCGGCUUUGUCUCAUCCGCCUCUCCUUCCUGACUUUCCUCGUGGUGAAUCCUCUCUCUGCCCGGCCCUGCUUGAUGCAUUUUGGAGCCGCCUGCAGAGCACCCAGCACUUAAGAUGGAGCCUGGGCCUGUUGAGAGAGGCAAGUGCCCCACCGCUGCCCUGAUCUCCCCUCAACAAGCCCUCCCUGAGCCACGCUGAAAUUGCCACCCCAGCGAACGAGGAGGCCAGCAGAAGUGACAGCAGCAGCAAGACCCUCCCAGUGCUCCAGGGGUGCAGAGCAAGUGGCCAAGGCAGCAGGGUGGGAGUGCCCGCCGUGGGGUCUCUGCUCCCUGGAAGGGCACUGUGACACCACGAUGGCCUCCACCUGUGCCCGGCAGACCUGGAGGACAGUCAUCUGUCCGGCCUCGCAUCCCAGCCAACCGCAGAGCAGAGCUGCCUAACUCAACGCUUCCGUACUGCCACUCCCCAGUGACAGAGUGACGGCCAUGCACACAGCACCCCACCCCUUCACGUGCCAGAGGUCCUCAUCCUUGCGAGGAGACGCGGACUCUCUGCCCGUGCUGCACCGCCGCCUUCUGCAGUGUCACAGCCAGCCCUGGAAUCUGGUGCCGGAAAUUCUCCGACUGCCCUUCCUGCCUCUCCCUCUCUUCCUCCUCUCUCCUCUCCUUUUCUCUUUUCUUUUCUUUGCAUCCUUCUUUCUUUUCAGUAAUAAGGAUUGAGCCCAGGGUCUUUGCACUGACCUACAUUCCCAUCCUUUUUUUUUUCCUGUACUGGAAAUGGAACUCAGGACCUUGUGCUUACCAGGCAGGUGCACCACCACUGAGCUAAAUCCCCAGCCUUUGGGGUUUUCUUUUUGAGACAGGGUCUUGCUCUGUAGUUCAGGCUGUCCUUGAACCCACUGUGUAGCCCAGGCAGGCCUUGAACUCACAGCAAUCCUCCUGCCUCAGCUUCCCGGGUUCUGCAAUUACAGGUGUGUGCCACCUCACCCAGCUUUAUGUUUUGAGAAAGCGUCUUGUUAAAUUGUUGAGUUGCCCAAGCCGUGCUCAAACGUGUGACCCUCCGGCCUCAGCCUCCUGAGUGCUGGGAUCCCAGGAGUGUAGCUCCACGCCCAGCUGUAUGAUCUGCCCAAGUAACAGCUGCUACUGAAGACGACUACUUGGGAAUAGUGACUGAUGAGUGGAACAGGGCCGUGUGGCACCCAGGGAAUCGCUGGGCCAUCACUGCGUUUCUACAUAGUGCACUUCCCCUCCUGCAGGAAGCCCCGGGGCUCGACCAUGAGCACACAGCUGACCCCGAAAGGAGCCCAGGGUGCGAUGUGUGUGCCCACGGCCGUCCGCAGGGCCAUGCUCCCUGCCUGAGCCGGGCCCGACCUCCUCAGGGGUCCAUGUGAGCGCUGAGCUCCAUCUUCCUCCCCCACCGGUAAGAAUUUGGCCAGAACAAGCCUGGAAAAGAAGCCCUGCUGUUUAGGGCAGAUGCCCCUCCUGUACUGCGCUGCGGAGAAAGCUGGAAUGGAGGGGACGGGGCCCUGAAAACCCCUCCCUGCCCACAGGCCAGGCGGCCAGUGAGGUCUGAGGUUUCCCCGUCAGGGAUGCAGGACUGCGGCUAACCCCAGGCCACCGCCACUGCCUGCUGGGAAGGGCACAGACGAGAUGUGUCACUGGUCGCCACGUCCACACUCCAAUUUCCUGCUUCCCAGAUGUCCAGGACUCGUGCCAAGCACAGCGGCUCGGGCCUGGAAUCCCAGCUACUUGGAAGGCUGAGGCAGGAGGAUCAUGCG
ensembl:lncRNA